GGUAAGUGAGUCCCGCUGCUGACAGGUAUUCCAAUGUCAGGAAGGGAGAUAAAGACAUUUUUUUUUAGCCCUAACUGAAGGAGCUUCAUCACCAGGCUUCCCGGCAAAAGCCCUGGUGCCAGAACAGGAAAUCUAUUGAUCAGCACUGCAAAUGAAUUGUGGCUCUGUACUUGCAUCCUCCUUCUCCCAAGGAGAGAACCGGUGGGCUAAUUGGUGUGUGUGGCCGCCUGUCAUCUGUGGCCCCGCCUACCCCACCCACGCGUCACUAACUUAGUGUACGUUGCCUUGUGCGCUGUGGCCGCCGGUCGCUAACAGGUGAAGAGGUCCCGCCCCCACACCACCCGGCUGUCAGGAAGAGGUCUGCAUGCCGAACUCCGCUGACGUAAUCGCGCGUACCUCGGAGGAAGAGACAGUGCGGCUGCAGUGGAUCCAGCAGGAUUGCCACAACGUAUGCGCUGGACAGGCCGGCGUGACGUCACUUCCGGCGGGACCGGGAGGAUGUGACCGGAAUCCGGGCGGCGCGAUUGGAGGCGGCGGGUGAGACCGAGUUUAAACAGGGCCUUCUGCAAGAUCUGGUGCUGUCACUGGUGUGAUCGUGAUAAAAACUGCUGGCUCUGUUUGGAAAGAACAGGAGCUUAGCACAAGGUGGAGUAGAUGUGUCCCUUGAAGACUCAAUGACCGGGGGCUUGGUGGAGUUGCACAAGGAGACGGUAGCAAUGGUGGACGCAGAACAGCACUUGAUGGGCCUACAGAAAACAGACCAUGCUUUAAUUACAUUGCAAACUUGUAUCAUGUGGUCACUAUACAUACUAAAUUGGUACAUUUAAAUUACUUGCCACCUCGUCAUCUUGAAUUCUAGUAGGCUUUGAUUUAGCUCCCUUACCACGCUUUGAAUAAAGAGAAA